UACGAAGGGGGCUAGCGUUGCUCGGAAUCACUGGGCGUAAAGCGCACGUAGGCGGCUUUUUAAGUCAGGGGUGAAAUCCUGGAGCUCAACUCCAGAACUGCCUUUGAUACUGAGAAGCUCGAGUCCGGGAGAGGUGAGUGGAACUGUGAGUGUAGAGGUGAAAUUCGUAGAUAUUCGCAAGAACACCAGUGGCGAAGGCGGCUCACUGGCCCGGUACUGACGCUGAGGUGCGAAAGCGUGGGGAGCAAACAGG
rnacentral:rRNA from 1 species